rnacentral:rRNA from 1 species
UGACUGACCGAUAGUGAACCAGUACCGUGAGGGAAAGGCGAAAAGAACCCCGGCGAGGGGAGUGAAAAAGAACCUGAAACCGUGUACGUACAAGCAGUGGGAGCCUCUUAAUGGGGUGACUGCGUACCUUUUGUAUAAUGGGUCAGCGACUUAUAUUCUGUAGCAAGGUUAACCGAAUAGGGGAGCCGAAGGGAAACCGAGUCUUAACUGGGCGUUAAGUUGCAGGGUAUAGACCCGAAACCCGGUGAUCUAGCCAUGGGCAGGUUGAAGGUUGGGUAACACUAACUGGAGGACCGAACCGACUAAUGUUGAAAAAUUAGCGGAUGACUUGUGGCUGGGGGUGAAAGGCCAAUCAAACCGGGAGAUAGCUGGUUCUCCCCGAAAGCUAUUUAGGUAGCGCCUCGUGAAUUCAUCUCCGGGGGUAGAGCACUGUUUCGGCAAGGGGGUCAUCCCGACUUACCAACCCGAUGCAAACUGCGAAUACCGGAGAAUGUUAUCACGGGAGACACACGGCGGGUGCUAACGUCCGUCGUGAAGAGGGAAACAACCCAGACCGCCAGCUAAGGUCCCAAAGUCAUGGUUAAGUGGGAAACGAUGUGGGAAGGCCCAGACAGCCAGGAUGUUGGCUUAGAAGCAGCCAUCAUUUAAAGAAAGCGUAAUAGCUCACUGGUCGAGUCGGCCUGCGCGGAAGAUGUAACGGGGCUAAACCAUGCACCGAAGCUGCGGCAGCGACACUAUGUGUUGUUGGGUAGGGGAGCG